rnacentral:rRNA from 1 species
UACGGAGGGUGCAAGCGUUAUCCGGAUUUACUGGGUUUAAAGGGAGCGUAGGUGGGUCGGUAAGUCAGUGGUGAAAUCUUCGAGCUUAACUCGGAAACUGCCAUUGAUACUAUCGAUCUUGAAUUAUCUGGAGGUAAGCGGAAUAUGUCAUGUAGCGGUGAAAUGCUUAGAUAUGACAUAGAACACCCAUUGCGAAGGCAGCUUACUACGGAUAUAUUGACACUGAGGCUCGAAAGCGUGGGGAUCAAACAG